GUGCCAGCAGCCGCGGUAAUACCCGCAGCACAAGUGGUGGUCAUUAUUAUUGGGCCUAAAGCGUCCGUAGCUGGCUUGUUAGAUGCCUGGGUAAAUCGAUGCGCUCAACGCAUCGAACUCCGGGUAGACCGGCAAGCUUGGGACCGGGAGAGGCGUGAGCUACUCGAGGGGUAGGGGUAAAAUCCUGUAAUCCUUCGGGGAGGACCAGUGGCGAAGGCGUCACGCUAGAACGGCUCCGACAGUGAGGGACGAAGCCCUGGGGCGCAAACCGGAUUAGAUACCCGGGUAGUCC
rnacentral:rRNA from 1 species